GAAAUCCUGCUUCCAACAACUUGAAGCUGAUGAUUCGCUGGAGAUCUAUGCUAAAAUGAGAAAAACAUCAGAUUAGUCUACUUAUCGGACAGAUAGAACUCACAUCAAAUACAACCAUACCGAACCACAGACACACCAAAAUAAGAGUUGAAGAGGAGUACAGUGGAAGCACAUGUGGAGAGGGGCCAGGACACACCUGCCACAUAUACAACAGGACAGAACAGACUAAGCAGGUGAUCAAAGAUAGGAAGAAUUGUCUGGCCUUCCCCGGAAUCAGGU